GAAGGUUUGGCCAAAUAGUUAAGCUGUCCGCUUCGUAAGCGGAAGAUCGUGGGUUCGAUUCCCAUCUGCUCCA
rfam:Culex pipiens quinquefasciatus supercont3.47 genomic scaffold, whole genome shotgun sequence.